rnacentral:rRNA from 1 species
AGAGUUUGAUCAUGGCUCAGAACGAACGCUGGCGGCAGGCCUAACACAUGCAAGUCGAACGCACCGCAAGGUGAGUGGCGCACGGGUGAGUAACACGUGGGAAUGUACCCUUUGGUUCGGAAUAACGUUUGGAAACGAACGCUAAUACCGGAUGAGCCCUGCGGGGGAAAGAUUUAUCGCCAAAGGAGCAGCCCGCGUCUGAUUAGCUAGUUGGUGGGGUAAAGGCCUACCAAGGCGACGAUCAGUAGCUGGUCUGAGAGGAUGAUCAGCCACACUGGGACUGAGACACGGCCCAGACUCCUACGGGAGGCAGCAGUGGGGAAUAUUGGACAAUGGGCGCAAGCCUGAUCCAGCCAUGCCGCGUGAGUGAUGAAGGCCUUCGGGUUGUAAAGCUCUUUCGCACGCGACGAUGAUGACGGUAGCGUGAGAAGAAGCCCCGGCUAACUUCGUG